CAGUAGCCACGGUAAUACGUAGGUGGCGAGCGUUGUCCGGAAUUAUUGGGCGUAAAGGGCUCGCAGGCGGUUUCUUAAGUCUGAUGUGAAAGCCCCCGGCUCAACCGGGGAGGGUCAUUGGAAACUGGGAAACUUGAGUGCAGAAGAGGAGAGUGGAAUUCCACGUGUAGCGGUGAAAUGCGUAGAGAUGUGGAGGAACACCAGUGGCGAAGGCGACUCUCUGGUCUGUAACUGACGCUGAGGAGCGAAAGCGUGGGGAGCGAACAGGAUUAGAUACCCCUGUAGUCCCUGUCUCUUAUAC
rnacentral:rRNA from 1 species